rnacentral:rRNA from 1 species
GACGAACGCUGGCGGCGUGCUUAACACAUGCAAGUCGAACGGAAAGGCCCUGCUUUUGUGGGGUGCUCGAGUGGCGAACGGGUGAGUAACACGUGAGUAACCUGCCCUUUACUUUGGGAUAACUUCAGGAAACUGCUGCUAAUACCUGAUAGGAGCUCCUGCUGCAUGGUGGGGUUUGGAAAGUUUCGGCGGUUGGGGAUGGACUCGCGGCUUAUCAGCUUGUUGGUGGGGUAGUGGCUUACCAAGGCUUUGACGGGUAGCCGGCCUGAGAGGGUGACCGGCCACAUUGGGACUGAGAUACGGCCCAGACUGCUACGGGAGGCAGCAGGGGGGAAUAUUGCACAAUGGGCGGAAGCCUGAUGCAGAAACGCCGCGUGCGGGAUGAAGGCCUUCGGGUUGUAAACCGCUGUAGCCUGUGACGAAGCGUGAGUGACGGUAAUGGGUAAAGAAGCACCGGCUAACUACGUG